rnacentral:rRNA from 1 species
UAGGGAAUCUUCGGCAAUGGACGGAAGUCUGACCGAGCAACGCCGCGUGAGUGAAGAAGGUUUUCGGAUCGUAAAGCUCUGUUGUAAGAGAAGAACGAGUGUGAGAGUGGAAAGUUCACACUGUGACGGUAUCUUACCAGAAAGAGACGGCUAACUACGUGCCAGCAGCCGCGGUAAUACGUAGGUCCCGAGCGUUGUCCGGAUUUAUUGGGCGUAAAGCGAGCGCAGGCGGUUAGAUAAGUCUGAAGUUAAAGGCUGUGGCUUAACCAUAGUACGCUUUGGAAACUGUUUAACUUGAGUGCAAGAGGGGAGAGUGGAAUUCCAUGUGUAGCGGUGAAAUGCGUAGAUAUAUGGAGGAACACCGGUGGCGAAAGCGGCUCUCUGGCUUGUAACUGACGCUGAGGCUCGAAAGCGUGGGGAGCAAACAGGAUUAGAUACCCUGGUAGUCCACGCCGUAAACGAUGAGUGCUAGGUGUUAGACCCUUUCCGGGGUUUAGUGCCGCAGCUAACGCAUUAAGCACUCCGCCUGGGGAGUACGACCGCAAGGUUG